AACUAUGUAACGUAAGUAAUGUUCAGAUCACUUGCUAGCAUUUCAAAGGGCAUAAUAAUUCUAAGUGUAGAGAAUUAUGACUUUCCAAUGAUAUUUGAAGUGCAAUGGAAACUGAUCUUACAAGCCUACCUACAGGUACACUUUGAAAAUGACCAAUUCAAAGCCACAAAAGUAGAUGGGAUGUUGAAGUUGAGGCCCGAUGCAGUCCCAACAGUUUUCAUCCAUCGCCCUAAACUGAAGAGGAGGAAACCCCCUUCUGUGAGGGUGCCUCCGGAACCAAGUGCAACGGACCACACAUAUUGCUCCAAAUUAAACUUCGGUAUGAUCCAUGCAGCUAACAAUAUUCCCCAUUUCAUGUAAUUCAAGGAUAGACUACACUCCGAAUGAGAUUACAUAAUUCAUAUUUGUACAUUCAGUUUAAAAAACAACCAGAAGGCAGGGAUUCUCUGAGGAUUUGCAUACAAUGUAGAUAAUCGACACAUUUCUACCCAAUUAACAAUUGCCGGUAGAUCCAUUUAUACAUUUUAUUGGUUUCUGAUUGUGGCAGAUGAUUUAAUUCACAUUACAGAAAUGUUUCGCUUUAAUUCAUUUUCUUACAUUGGAGAUGACAGUAGUUGCAAAUGCAAAGGCAAAAUACAUAUAACAGCAACAUUACCUUGUAUUUGAGAUUGAGGGAGAAAUUGAGGUGGAUUUCAAGAGCGUUGAAAAGGACAUGACACGAGACAGAGAGGGCAAUCAAGAGGCCACAUUGCCAGGGGCAGGUGAUCCAGGGGCAGGUGAUCCAGGGGCAGGUGAUCCAGGGAUGUGUGUGCCGAGGGCCAGUCAGUCAGGGGUCAACAGUGAAGGAAUAACUUUGCCAGGGCCAGCUGCUCCAGGGACCAG